rnacentral:rRNA from 1 species
UACGUAGGGCGCAAGCGUUAUCCGGAAUUAUUGGGCGUAAAGAGCUCGUAGGCGGUUUGUCGCGUCUGCUGUGAAAGACCGGGGCUCAACUCCGGUUCUGCAGUGGGUACGGGCAGACUAGAGUGCAGUAGGGGAGACUGGAAUUCCUGGUGUAGCGGUGAAAUGCGCAGAUAUCAGGAGGAACACCGAUGGCGAAGGCAGAUCUCUGGGCCGUAACUGACGCUGAGGAGCGAAAGCGUGGGGAGCGAACAGG